ACUUUGCAUAGUUUUCAUGAUUAGGCUAAGUUGAAACUUUUUAAUCGAUCUCUCAUUUCAGUAAAAAUCAUGAAAUCAAUUGAUUGAUCCACGGUAUAAAGGUUUUGAUAUUGAUGCUUUGGGGAAUCUCUUUCUCUACUUCCUAUUGUACUCAAUAAAUAUAAAAAAGGUAAAGCUUCUAUUAUUCCUCGAUAAUUUUUGUUAGAACUAAGAUGCAAUGAUGAAAAUUAGGCUAAAAUAGGUUUACUUUGUGCUCUGUAAGACUUGGGAAUGGCUCGAGAAGCUUUCUGUAUGUUAGGAGUCUACUCUUUAGGUUAAACUAGACUAUAUGUUGACUUUUUUUUAAUUUUUUUUUUAAAUUUUUAAUUUUAUUAUUUAUUUAUUUAUUUAUUUAUUUAUUUAUUGCAAUUCUUAUGGAACUACAUCUGCUUACUCUCUAUUUUGCUGCAAGAGUUUUAUAGUUAGAACUCCUUGAUCCUUAACUAUUUUUAGAAAAAAUGUUAGUAUUGUAGAAGGUUUUAAUUUGUUUAUGUUUUUGGUAAGAAUAUGAUUUGUAGAAUAUGGAAGAAUGGC